rnacentral:rRNA from 2 species
AUCGCAACGGUUGCGACCCCAGGUCAGGC